GAUGAACGCUGGCGGCGUGCCUAAUACAUGCAAGUCGAGCGAACGGACGAGAAGCUUGCUUCUCUGAUGUUAGCGGCGGACGGGUGAGUAACACGUGGAUAACCUACCUAUAAGACUGGGAUAACUUCGGGAAACCGGAGCUAAUACCGGAUAAUAUUUUGAACCGCAUGGUUCAAAAGUGAAAGACGGUCUUGCUGUCACUUAUAGAUGGAUCCGCGCUGCAUUAGCUAGUUGGUAAGGUAACGGCUUACCAAGGCAACGAUGCAUAGCCGACCUGAGAGGGUGAUCGGCCACACUGGAACUCAGACACGGUCCAGACUCCUACGGGAGGCAGCAGUAGGGAAUCUUCCGCAAAGGGCGAAAGCCUGACGGAGCAACGCCGCGUGAGUGAUGAAGGUCUUCGGAUCGUAAAACUCUGUUAUUAGGGAAGAACAUAUGUGUAAGUAACUGUGCACAUCUUGACGGUACCUAAUCAGAAAGCCACGGCUAACUACGUG
rnacentral:rRNA from 1 species